CCCGCAGAUUAACCACUGUUUUUCUCUCUUUUGGUGGUGGGGCGGGGGAACUCCCACGCAUGGCGAUGGCGAUUCCUAUAGCCCUCCAAACGCCUAUAUAUACCGACCCUCCCUUCACAAACCCUGCAAACCAAAACCCUCUCGCAUGUUCAUCCUCUUCACCAUUCGAAACCCUAACAUUUUUUUUCCCCUUUUAUAUAGUGAGAAAGGUCUUGAUCCCAAGAAGACAUGGAAUCUUCGCCCGAAGAAGAAGAAGGGGCAAACCUAUCCCCCCCUCCUAGUCGAGGAGGAGCUUCGCCCCAGCAUCUGGAAUACUCAUUUGAGCAAGCAAUAGAAAGCCAUUUUGGGAAUCGAUGGAUUAAAAUAAUUAUUUCAUGAAGGACCUCGACCUUGGACCAUCAUGUUACCCAAAAGGAAUGGUCGAUCCCAAGUGGCAUCUUGACAAUUUACAUUUGCUUUUCAUUGAAAAGCAGCCCCAUUAGAAUGUGAAGAAACGAGCUCCUAAAGCCAUAACCUACAGAUGGUCCAGUUAUGAUUGCUUCCUCAUUCUAAUGAUUGUUCAAUAGGUGACACUCAUACAUGAGAUUUCAUGUAAAAGAAAAGUAACUUCCUAUUUCAACAAAAAGUAUUUUGGUGUACA